rnacentral:rRNA from 1 species
GAUGAACGCUAGCUACAGGCUUAACACAUGCAAGUCGAGGGGCAGCAUGAAGUCAGCUUGCUGACUUUGAUGGCGACCGGCGCACGGGUGAGUAACGCGUAUCCAACCUUCCCCUUACUCAGGAAUAGCCCGUUGAAAGACGGAUUAAUGCCUGAUGUUCUCUUUUUCCGGCAUCGGUAAUAGAGCAAAGAUUCAUCGGUAAGGGAUGGGGAUGCGUAUGAUUAGCUUGUUGGCGGGGUAACGGCCCACCAAGGCAACGAUCAUUAGGGGUUCUGAGAGGAAGGUCCCCCACACUGGAACUGAAACACGGUCCAGACUCCUACGGGAGGCAGCAGUGAGGAAUAUUGGUCAAUGGUCGGAAGACUGAACCAGCCAAGUAGCGUGAAGGAUGACUGCCCUACGGGUUGUAAACUUCUUUGUCGGGAGCAAAAAGGAUCAACGCGUGGUCCAUUGAGCGUACCCGAAGAAUAAGCAUCGGCUAACUCCGUGCCAGCAGCCG